rnacentral:rRNA from 1 species
AUUGAACGCUGGCGGCAGGCCUAACACAUGCAAGUCGAGCGAGCGGCGGACGGGUGAGUCAUGUAUGGGGACUGCCCGAUAGAGGGGGAUAACUACUGGAAACGGUAGAUAAUACCGCAUACUAUCGGAUAACCCAUAUGUGAUUAGAUAGUAGGUGAGGUAAUGGCUCACCUAAGCGACGAUCCCUAGCUGGUCUGAGAUGAUGAACAGCCACAUGUGGAAGGAGACACGGGCCAGACUCCGACGGAGGCAGCAGUGGGGAAUAUUGCAAAAUGGGCGCAAGUCGGAUGCAGGCAUGCCGCGUGUAUGAAGAAGGCCCUAGGGUUGUAAAGUACUUUCAGUCGGGAGGCGUUACCGACAGAAGAAGCACCGGCUAACUCCGUGCCAGCAGCCGCGGUAAGAC